rnacentral:rRNA from 1 species
AGUAGGGCGAGGAAGAGACAUCAACCGAGAUUCCGCAAGUAGUGGCGAGCGAACGCGGAAGAGGCCAAACCGGAGGAUUUAUUCUCCGGGGUUGCGGACAGCUAUACGGAACAAUAGUUUAGCCGAACGGUCUGGGAAGGCCGGUCACAGAGGGUGAGAACCCCGUAGGCGAAAGACGAAUUGUUUCAGGCUGGAUCCAGAGUACCGCAGGACACGUGAAACCCUGUGGGAAACAGGGGGGACCACCCUCCAAGCCUAAAUACUACCUGAUGACCGAUAGAGGAGCAGUACCGUGAGGGAAAGGUGAAAAGGACCCCGGGAGGGGAGUGAAAGAGAACCUGAAACCUUGUGCUUACAAGCAGUCAAAGCACGUUAACGUGUGAUGACGUACUUUUUGUAGAACGGUCCGGCGAGUUAUAGUAACGAGCAAGCUUAAGGUAUUGAGUACCGGAGGCGAAGCGAGAGCGAGUCUGAAUAGGGCGUAAAGUUCGUUGCCAUAGACCCGAAACCGGGUGACCUAUCCAUGAGCAGGCUGAAGUGAGAGUAAAAUCUCAUGGAGGGCCGAACCGACCCCCGUUGCAAUGGUGGCGGAUGACUUGUGGAUAGCGGAGAAAUUCCAAUCGAACUCGGAGAUAGCUGGUUCUCCCCGAAAUAGCUUUAGGGCUAGCGUUAUGUUAGAUUACCGGAGGUAAAGCACUGAAUGGUGGCGGGGCCGAUAAGGUUACCAAGACCUAUCAAACUCUGAAUGCCGGAUAAUUGAUGCAUAGCAGUCAGACAGCGUGAGAUAAGUUUCGUUGUCAAAAGGGAAACAGCCCAGACCCACAGCUAAGGUCCCAAAUUCAUGCUAAGUGGAAAACGAUGUGGAAUUGCGAAAACAACCAGGAUGUUGGCUUAGAAGCAGCCACUCAUUAAAAGAGUGCGUAAUAGCUCACUGGUCGAGUGACUCUGCGCGGAAAAUAUAACGGGGCUAAGCAUGAAACCGAAGCUUGGGCUUGUACUUAGGUACAGGGGUAGGGGAGCGUCGAGUAUGGGGUGAAGUCAGAGCGGAAGCACUGGUGGACUGUACUCGAGUGAGAAUGCCGGAAUGAGUAGCGAGAAUUAUGUGGGAAUCAUAAUGGCCGAAAAUCUAAGGUUUCUUGGGGAAGGUUCGUCCGCCCAAGGUAAGUCGGGAGCUAAGCUCAGGCCGAGAGGCGUAGGCGAUGCACAUACGGUAGAAAUUCCGUAACCACCGAAACUUAAACAGAGGGACACUUCGAAAUAGCGGAACCCGGGCGUUGGUUGACCCGGGCGAAAGGGAGCGAAAAUAGAGUAGCGAAGUCCGCGAUGUUCGGAGGCGAGAAAAGCUCUGAGGUAUGCUAAGGUGCCCGUACCGCAAACCGACACAGGUAGAUGAGGAGAGAAUCCUAAGGCCAACGGGAGAAGGGUUGUUAAGGAACUCGGCAAAUUGACCCCGUAACUUCGGAAGAAGGGGAGCCCCCUACGGGGGGUCGCAGAGAAAUGGCCCAAGCAACUGUUUACCAAAAACACAGGUCUAUGCUAAAUCGAAAGAUGACGUAUAUGGGCUGACGCCUGCCCGGUGCCGGAAGGUUAAGAGGAGAUGUCAGGCAACGAAGCAUUGAAUUUAAGCCCCGGUAAACGGCGGCCGUAACUAUAACGGUCCUAAGGUAGCGAAAUUCCUUGUCAGGUAAGUUCUGACCCGCACGAAUGGCGUAAUGAUUUGGGCACUGUCUCGACAGCCCGCCCGGCGAAAUUGUAGUACUGGUGAAGAUGCCAGUUACCCGCAACUAGACGGAAAGACCCCAUGGAGCUUUACUGCAGCUUAAUACUGAAAUUCGGUAGUACAUGUACAGGAUAGGUGGGAGACUGAGAAAUACAGGCGUCAGCUUGUAUGGAGUCGCUGUUGGGAUACCACUCUUGUACUGCUGGGUUUCUAACCUGCGGCCGUGAAUCCGGUCGGGGGACACUGUUAGGCGGGCAGUUUGACUGGGGCGGUCGCCUCCCAAAAGGUAAC